rnacentral:rRNA from 1 species
CACCGCGGUUAUACGAGAGGCCCUAGUUGAUAACUACCGGCGUAAAGAGUGGUUAUGGAAAAAUAUUUAAUAAAGCCGAACACCCCCUCAGCCGUCAUACGCAUCUGGGAGCACGAAGACCUACUGCGAAAGCAGCUUUAAUUAUGCCUGACCCCACGACAGCUAAGAAA